UACGGAGGGUGCAAGCGUUAUCCGGAUUCACUGGGUUUAAAGGGUGCGUAGGUGGGUCUGUAAGUCAGUGGUGAAAUCCCCGAGCUUAACUUGGGAACUGCCGUUGAUACUAUAGAUCUUGAAUAUCGUGGAGGUAAGCGGAAUAUGUCAUGUAGCGGUGAAAUGCUUAGAUAUCGUCAAGAACACCGAUAGUGUAGACAGCUAACUAGCUUAACUGACGCUGAGGCACGAAAGUGUGGGGAUCAAACAGG
rnacentral:rRNA from 1 species